rnacentral:rRNA from 1 species
UAACGGCGAGUGAAGCGGCAACAGCUCAAAUUUGAAAUCUGGCCCCCCGGCCCGAGUUGUAAUUUGGAGAGGAUGCUUCUGGCGCGGCGCCGUCCGAGUUCCUUGGAACAGGACGCCAUAGAGGGUGAGAGCCCCGUACGGAUGGACGCCAAACCUCUACGAAGCUCCUUCGACGAGUCGAGUAGUUUGGGAAUGCUGCUCAAAAUGGGAGGUAAAUUUCUUCUAAAGCUAAAUACCGGCCAGAGACCGAUAGCGCACAAGUAGAGUGAUCGAAAGAUGAAAAGCACUUUGAAAAGAGGGUUAAAAAGUACGUGAAAUUGUUGAAAGGGAAGCGCCUGUGACCAGACUUGCGCCUCGCGGACCAUCCGGCGUUCUCGCCGGUGCACUCUGCGUGGCGCAGGCCAGCAUCGGCUCUCCUAGGGGGACAAAGGCCGCGGGAACGUAACUCCUCCGGGAGUGUUAUAGCCCGCGGUGCCAUGCCCUUGGGGGGGCCGAGGACCGCGCUUCGGCAAGGAUGCUGGCGUAAUGGUCACCGGCGACCCGUCUUGAAACACGGACCAAGGAGUCAAGCAUUGGGGCGAGUGUCUGGGUGACAAACCCGCACGCGAAAUGAAAGUGAACGUAGGUGAGAGCUUCGGCGCAUCACCGACCGAUCCUGAUGUCUUCGGAUGGAUUUGAGUAAGAGCCUUACCGCUUGGACCCGAAAGAUGGUGAACUAUGCCUGUAUAGGGUGAAGCCAGAGGAAACUCUGGUGGAGGCUCGCAGCGGUUCUGACGUGCAAAUCGAUCGUCAAAUAUGGGCAUGGGGGCGAAAG